rnacentral:rRNA from 1 species
UACGGAGGAGGCAAGCGUUAUCCGGAAUUAUUGGGCGUAAAGCGUCCGUAGGUGGCUCUUCAAGUCUGCUGUCAAAGAGUGGGGCUUAACCCUGCAAAGGCAGUGGAAACUGAAAGGCUAGAGAGCCGUAGGGGUAGAGGGAAUUCCCGGUGUAGCGGUGAAAUGCGUAGAGAUCGGGAAGAACAUCGGUGGCGAAAGCGCUCUACUGGACCGCAACUGACACUCAGGGACGAAAGCUAGGGGAGCGAAUGGG